GUCUGCGUGAACCAGAAGUUGCUGCUAACAUUAUUUCAGUAUUGUGACGUAUUUCCAACUGAAAAACAAUAUUGAAUAGAGGGAGGAAUGAAUGCUACUUCAG